CUGUGUGGUAGCUUGGCCAGAAGAUUCCAGUCUAAUAAGUCUCUAGUCUGUUUGCUCCAAGUUUCGAUGUUUAAUGCAUGUGUGGAGUUUGCGGGGGGUAAGCAGACACUGCUCAGACCUUCUGCACUAUCCACCUUACAGUAAGACACGUGGCCUGCAUUAUUAGUGCUCGGGUACCUGCUAACCUCUUCUCUGUCCCUACCCCCCCAUUCCGAUCUGGAGAUUACCCAGUCCUGGUUUGGUCCCCUAAAGCCAGCUCUCUGAACUCAUCUUUGGACUCAUCACUGCCUGCCCACGCUCUGAACCUUAUUAUCAGCCUUAAAGCCAUCCGGCUUAGGCCCUGUUAUUCUCUGCUGCACAUUCAACCAUGAGUAUUGACUUCUUGCAUUAAGAAACCUUUAAACAUGCCUCUCUGAGUCUCGUGUUGAUCUCUGUGUUUUGGGUCAGAAAAACUGCAAAUAGGCAUGUGAGUAUUGUAUUUAGAUAGACUUGAAAAAUGCAAACCUAUCCUUUUAAGAUUUGUAAAUAUAGUGCUUGAAGUUUGGAGACACAAUAAGACUGAACAUUAGGCACAUCGGUGUGUAAUGCUACGGGUAGCAUUGGGCAAGAUGACGACACAGUACAUACCGUACUGUACUGUACAUUGUAUAAACGUAUCUACAGCCAUUUUUUCAAUUUUACAAAUCAGUUAGCAGGAUGCUUUAUGGCAAUACAAGAUCUUUAUAUGUGUUGUGAAUAAUGUUACAUUCCAUUCUGUGAGACGUUUGAAGAAAGUCGUUCUCAUCUAUUUUAAUAGUAUCCUGUAGUGCAACCCUGUUUUCCUAUCUGUGUGAAGAGAUUUUGAGGCAAUCUUUCCGCCCAUCCUGAUUCUCUUAUGUUACUACACCUCAACUAAAUGAAUGAAGCAAUUGUUAGAGAAUAUGGAAAUCCUUGUGUGUCUCAUUAAACCUUUAGAACAUUGUGAACUGAA